rnacentral:lncRNA from 1 species
AAUGGUGAGACAAUCAGUGACGUUGGUUCAGAGGAAGUUCAGGAGAAUUCGAAUUCAGAGCUUGAGGCUGAGACGUUUGAAGAGGCUGUUGGGGUUCCAAGUGAAGUUGAACCUCUGGAGGAUGUGGUUCAGAGUGAGGUUGGACCUAAGGAGGAUGUGGUUCGGAGUGAGGUUGGACCUAAGGAGGAUGUAGUUCCAAGUGCUAAGGAGGAUGCAGCAGUGUCAGUGGAUGAGCAGAAAGUGGAGGAACUGUUGGGUGGGGGGAGUGUUGGUGGUAGUGUGGUGUCUGAUAAGAUUGAUGAGGGAGGGACUGGAACGGGAGCAGGG